rnacentral:tRNA from 1 species
GCGGCUGUGGUCUAGUCUGGUCUAGGACCCAGGCCCCCCACUCCAUUAAUUGGAGGGGUUAGCCUGGAACGCGAGGUAGCCUGAAGCGGGUUACGCGGAUUCAAAUCCCGCCAGCCGCA